CAAUAGCGUAUAUUAAAGUUGUUGCGGUUAAAAAGCUCGUAGUUGGAUUUCUGCUGAGAACGACCGGUCCGCCCUUUGGGUGUGUAUCUGGCUCUUUCUUGGCAUCUUCUUGGUGAACGUUGCUGCACUUGACUGUGUGGAGCGCUACCCAGGACUUUUACUUUGAGGAAAUUAGAGUGUUUCAAGCAGGCAUACGCCUUGAAUACAUUAGCAUGGAAUAAUAAGAUAGGACCUCGGUUCUAUUUUGUUGGUUUCUAGAGCUGAGGUAAUGAUUAAUAGGGAUAGUUGGGGGCAUUCGUAUUUAACUGUCAGAGGUGAAAUUCUUGGAUCAGCUAAAGACGGACGACUGCGAAAGCGUUUGCCCAAGAUGUUUUCAUUGA
rnacentral:rRNA from 1 species